rnacentral:tRNA from 1 species
ACAGGAUACCAACCUGCACCUGANAACUCAAAAUCCUCCGUACUACCACUAUACUAC